rnacentral:rRNA from 1 species
UACGUAGGGUGCAAGCGUUAAUCGGAAUACUGGGCGUAAAGCGUGCGCAGGCGGUUAUGUAAGACAGAUGUGAAAUCCCCGGGCUCAACCUGGGAACUGCAUUUGUGACUGCAUAGCUAGAGUACGGUAGAGGGGGAUGGAAUUCCGCGUGUAGCAGUGAAAUGCGUAGAUAUGCGGAGGAACACCGAUGGCGAAGGCAAUCCCCGUGGACCUGUACUGACGCUCAUGCACGAAAGGCGUGGGGAGCAAACGAGG